GAUGAACGCUGGCGGCGUGCCUAAUACAUGCAAGUCGAGCGAACGGACGAGAAGCUUGCUUCUCUGAUGUUAGCGGCGGACGGGUGAGUAACACGUGGAUAACCUACCUAUAAGACUGGGAUAACUUCGGGAAACCGGAGCUAAUACCGGAUAAUAUUUUGAACCGCAUUGUUCAAAAGUGAAAGACGGUCUUGCUGUCACUUAUAGAUGGAUCCGCGCUGCAUUAGCUAGUUGGGAAGGUAACGGCUUACCAAGGCAACGAUGCAUAGCCGACCUGAGAGGGUGAUCGGCCACACUGGAACGGAGACACGGUCCAGACUCCUACGGGAGGCAGCAGUAGGGAAUCUUCCGCAAUGGGCGAAAGCCUGACGGAGCAACGCCGCGUGAGUGAUGAAGGUCUUCGGAUCGUAAAACUCUGUUAUUAGGGAAGAACAUAUGUGUAAGUAACUGUGCACAUCUUGACGGUACCUAAUCAGAAAGCCACGGCUAACUACGUG
rnacentral:rRNA from 1 species